AGUGAACGCUGGCGGUAGGCCUAACACAUGCAAGUCGAACGGCAGCACAGUAAGAGCUUGCUCUUACGGGUGGCGAGUGGCGGACGGGUGAGGAAUACAUCGGAAUCUACUUUUUCGUGGGGGAUAACGUAGGGAAACUUACGCUAAUACCGCAUACGACCUACGGGUGAAAGCAGGGGAUCUUCGGACCUUGCGCGAUUGAAUGAGCCGAUGUCGGAUUAGCUAGUUGGCGGGGUAAAGGCCCACCAAGGCGACGAUCCGUAGCUGGUCUGAGAGGAUGAUCAGCCACACUGGAACGGAGACAAGGUCCAGACGCCUACGGGAGGCAGCAGUGGGGAAUAUUGGACAAUGGGCGCAAGCCUGAUCCAGCCAUACCGCGUGGGUGAAGAAGGCCUUCGGGUUGUAAAGCCCUUUUGUUGGGAAAGAAAAGCAGCAGGUUAAUACCCCGCUGUUCUGACGGUACCCAAAGAAUAAGCACCGGCUAACUUCGUG
rnacentral:rRNA from 1 species